GACGAACGCUGGCGGCGUGCCUAAUACAUGCAAGUUGAGCGCUGAAGGUUGGUACUUGUACCAACUGGAUGAGCAGCGAACGGGUGAGUAACGCGUGGGGAAUCUGCCUUUGAGCGGGGGACAACAUUUGGAAACGAAUGCUAAUACCGCAUAAAAACUUUAAACACAAGUUUUAAGUUUGAAAGAUGCAAUUGCAUCACUCAAAGAUGAUCCCGCGUUGUAUUAGCUAGUUGGUGAGGUAAAGGCUCACCAAGGCGAUGAUACAUAGCCGACCUGAGAGGGUGAUCGGCCACAUUGGGACUGAGGCACGGCCCAAACUCCUACGGGAGGCAGCAGUAGGGAAUCUUCGGCAAUGGACGAAAGUCUGACCGAGCAACGCCGCGUGAGUGAAGAAGGUUUUCGGAUCGUAAAACUCUGUUGGUAGAGAAGAACGUUGGUGAGAGUGGAAAACUCAUCAAGUGACGGUAACUACCCAGAAAGGGACGGCUAACUACGUG
rnacentral:rRNA from 1 species